AGGACCAUUCUAUGGUUGAAGACUCAGAGAGUAUAAGAGGACUUAGUGAUUGUACUCCAAGAUUUGAUGUGAAGCAAAGUGACCAAGAUGUCACCCAUGCAAAUCCUAUUGGAAGUUCUGAACCUAAUAAUGACAGUCAAAAGCACUCUGAGAUGUCUUUUGAUGGUGUUCACAAUAUUGAAUGGAUUGGGAAUGUACUUAAAGUUUCAGAUGGAAAAAAAUUCUAUGAGUCUUGUCUUGUUGAUGGAGUAACAUAUAAAGUGCAGGAUCAUGCCCUUUUUCAUUCUAGCCAUGAGAAAUUGAUACCCUCUAAACUUCAGGCAAUGUGGGAGGACAUCAAAACAGGAUCAAAGUGGGUUAUUGUGAAUAGAUGCUACUUUCCAGGUGACCUGCCUAAGGCUGUGGGCCACCCAUGUGCCCCUGAAAGCAAUGAGGUAUAUGAAUCUAAUCACCAGAGCAGUGUAAUGGCUGGCUUGAUUCAAGGUCCGUGUGCAGUUCUUCCUCCUACCAAGUUUCAAGAGAACUGUGAAAGACAGAGUCAGUUAGAAACUGAGGCUAAUAGUGGAUUGCAGCCAGUUUUUAUAUGCAAAUGGUUUUAUGAUGAAGCCAAAGGAAGUUUUCAACCUGUUUUUGGUUAGUCAUUCAUGCACAUAUUUUGUGAGGCGAUG
rnacentral:misc_RNA from 1 species